UCGCGUACACAGCCGAACGUUCAGCCGGGGUAUGUUCCUUUAACGACCACGAUCAACUUCAGGUCGUAUGUUGACGUGCGGUGUAAAACAACAACAAAUAGAGACGAGUGAGUGACGGGACGGAAGAAAACAAUAAAAAUUAAGAAGUAAAUAGUAGUCAGGAUAAAAGGAAAGUUGUGCUAUUUAUAAUAGGGAGUGAGAUUUAUAAAACAAAUUUAAUUAAGCCUAAUUUGCACCAAAAAAUACCGUGUAUUUGAUUCGUGAAUUCAGGAUACAAAAGUUGAUCACUGUGAGUAAUGUGUGACUUGAUUAAAAGUUGUUAUUCUACCUAAAAACGAAAUGCAAAAUUUGUUAACCUAGAUAAAAACACACAUUAAAACUUACAGCUAAAGAUCGAGAACAAGGCAGGAGAAAAAUAGAUUAAAGUUAGUGUGAAAAUUAUUGGAAACGCUAAAAGGUGAAUCAAUUUUCUUAUUGCUCGAAGACAGCUGCUAGAGAAGAACGUGGCCGAUCUGCUGGAGGGAAAAAGAAACUAAAAAUCUUUGAUCUGCCAGAAAAUAAGGCUGAUUCCAAGGAAAUAGUUUCAUUUGUUCAAAGUAGUCCGAACAAAAUCAAAGAUUUUUAUCUCUCGGACAUAACCUCGAAAGAUGGCUAAUUCGAAGUCCGGCAGCUGCCUUCUGUGUUCGGAAGUGGACACAAACGAAAUGGUCCAAUGUGACCAGUGCGACGGAUGGGCGCAUUACGGUUGUGCUGGAGUGAAUGAUACGGUAAAGGAUCACCCGUGGAGCUGUCCGAAGUGCAGCAACUUUCUGCAAGUACCCAAAAAGAAAGGUGCUGCUGUCGCAACGUCGAAAAAGACCUCCACGGAUGGAAAGAAGACAAGUUCGAAGGGAGAAACUGGCUCAGUGAGUAGUGCUGUUUUGACAAUCGAAGAAUCUUUGCGAAAGAUGCAAGAAGAGAUGGAUGCCAAGGAGAAGGCCUUGGAGAACGAGCGCAUUCUACGUAGGAAACGGCUCGAAAUGGAACGUGCGAUGAAGGAGAAGGAAUUAAGCCUGGAGAGAGAACUACGCCAAAUGGAAUUGGACCAAGAGCGGGAGUUACGGGCAGAUCAGCUGAAACAGGAGCAGGAAUUGCUGAACCAGCGCCUGAAGGAAGAGGAAGAGUUUCUCAAAAGGCGAAACAAGCUGCGUGAACAGUUCAAAAAUGCAAAAAAAGUACUGGUUGAAAACUACGGCGGUACGGGUCGUGAAAAGGAAGAAGAUCAAAAAGAGGAUGGAGAUGAAGAAGGCGCUGUUGGUGGAAUUCCGGAUGAAGAAGAAGAGGAAGACUUUCAUCGGAAGGUAGAGGAUUGGCUCGAUAACCAGAAGCUUCAACAGAAACCUGUGGUGUCUGGUGCCAAGGCAACAAAGGGGCCCUUGCCCCCUCCCACUUUACCGAAAAACCCGAGUGCAAAUCGUCACGAUAUUCCAAAUAAUGAGGAUCCGUUCGAACGAUUGACUCGCGAUGAACGGAACUUAUUAGAAGGGCUAUUGGAUCGUACACGAAACGUGUCGAGGCCGGAACCGGUAGGGCUCUCCCAAGCGCAAAUAUCCGCUCGACAGUCCAUUUCCAAGCAGUUACCGGUGUUUAGGGGCGAGGCUGAACUCUGGCCGAUUUUCAUCAGUAGCUAUGAGUAUACCACCGAAGCGUGUGGAUUUUCUAACCUGGACAAUUUGAAGCGCCUGCAGGACAGCCUAAAAGGGGAUGCUCUAGAAGCCGUGAGAAGUCGGCUGGUCCUCCCUGACUCGGUUCCCGAUGUAAUCCGCGAUCUCCGGAAUUUGUUCGGGAGGCCUGAGAAGCUUUUAAAAACGCUGCUGAUGAAAGUGCGCCAGGCCAAGUCACCAAGAGCUGACCGUUUAGAAACAUUCAUACAUUUCGGUAUAACGGUCAAGCAGCUCUGCGACCACUUAGAAGCUGCGAAGCUCGUGGAUCAUUUGAGCAACCCCAUGUUGGUCCAAGAGCUUGUGGAUAAGCUCCCUCCAAACUACAAGCUGGAUUGGGUCCGCUACAAACGGAACCAAGUCGGCACUCCAUUAAGGAUCUUUACCGAAUUCAUGAACGGUAUUGUUUCCGAUGUCUCCGAGGUCAGCGAAUUCUCCACUCACGAUCUUCACGAUCACAGUGAACGUUCCGCGCGAGCGAAGCAGAACAAGAAGGAGUUUGUCCACGUCCACAACUCCUUCCCCGGCAAAAGGGAAACGACGCCGAAUGUGAAAAGUGAAAAGCCGUGCUGGGUGUGCAAGAGGACUGAUCACAAGAUCAGGUUUUGCGACGACUUCCGUAAACUAAACAUCGCAGAACGUCUAAAGCUGGUCGAAAGGUUCAAGUUGUGUGAACUGUGCCUUAAUAACCAUGGAAAGAGCCGCUGCAACUUUAAGAUUCGCUGCAACGUGGCAAACUGCCAAGGAGGACAUAAUCCGCUUUUGCACCGUUCCGAAGAAAUUGUCCAGAUAAUGGAGGUCCAGUGUAAUGCUCACAACCGCCUAAAUCGCUCCGUGUUGUUUAGGAUGCUACCGGUUACGCUUCACGUCGGGAACCGAGGACUGGAUAUCCUUGCAUUUUUGGAUGAGGGGUCCUCCAUUACCCUGGUCGAGGAUUCUAUCGCCAACAAGUUGAAGAUCAACGGAACAGCUGAGCCGCUAGUCGUCACAUGGACUGGGAACAUGAAGCGCUUCGAGAACGGUUCUCGGAAAGUGGAUCUGAUGGUAUCCGCUAGAGGCUCAACCGAGCAGUUCCCGCUACGAGAAGCUCGCACCGUUGCGGAACUCAUUUUGCCUAAACAGGAGAUGCAAUUCCGCGAGAUCGCGGCACGCUAUCCCCACUUACAGGGCCUACCGGUUGAGGAUUAUGACGCAGAAGAACCGAAAAUGAUGAUCGGGUUGGACAACAUGCACGUAUUCGCUCCGCUCGAAUCUAGGGUUGGUAGACCGGGCGAGCCUAUCGGUGUUCGGUCGCAAUUAGGCUGGACAGUCUACGGACAGGAGAACCAGUGUUCGUUGUCGAGUGCGGUGGUGAAUUUUCACGCAGUGGAGCCAGUGAGCAACCAGGCGUUGCACGAUAUGAUUCGCAGCCAAUACGUGAUGGAGGAAGCAGGAGUUACACCGGCCGGAAUUCCGGAGUCGGCCGAAAACGAACGUGCUCGUGAGAUUCUUCAAAGUACGACGGUUCGUGUUGGAUGUCGUUUCGAGACAGGGCUCCUGUGGCGCGAUGACGAGCGGAAGUUCCCUGACAGCUAUCCGAUGGCUGUGCGCAGGAUGCAAGCAUUGGAGAGGAAGCUGUUAAAAAACGAGGCGUUGCGGCAGAAUGUGGAGAAGCAGAUCACCGACUAUCAAUUGAAGGGUUACGCGCACAUUGCUACGCCGGCUGAACUCGUCGACACCGAUCCAGCAGCAGUAUGGUAUCUACCCCUUAACGUUGUGACGAACCCUAAAAAGCCGGGAAAGGUGCGCCUUGUGUGGGACGCAGCUGCAACAGUAAACGGCGUUUCCCUGAAUACAGAACUGUUAAAGGGGCCUGACAUGCUGACGUCUCUCCCGGCAGUAAUUCAACGCUUUCGUGAGCGUAGCGUCGGGUUUGGUGGUGACAUACAGGAAAUGUACCACCAGAUCCGGAUCAGAGCGGAGGAUAAACAGGCGCAACGGUUCCUGUAUCGUCCUUCAAGUAACGACAAACCGCAGGUGUUCGUCAUGGACGUGGCGACUUUCGGAUCGACUUGCUCACCUUGCUCUGCGCAAUUCAUCAAGAACUUAAACGCAGAGGAGCACGCGGAGCAGUAUCCGGAAGCGGCGGUAGCGAUUGUGAAAAACCAUUACGUCGACGACUAUUUCGACAGUCUAGACACGGCUGAGGAGGCAAUUAGGAGAGCCCAGGAGGUGAAAGCUAUCCAUUCCCGUGGCGGUUUCAACAUCCGAAACUGGGUCUCAAAUUCGUCGGAGUUUCUGCGAGAGAUGGGAGAGCAACGCGACAGCAGCGCGGUGCGCUUUCACCAGGACAAGCAAGCCGAAACAGAACGGGUGCUCGGGAUCGUCUGGGAUUCUGAAGAAGAUGAGUUUUCCUUCUCCACCAUCACCAAUGCAGGAUUCCAGUUGAAGAUCUCAGGUGAAGUGCGGCCAACGAAGAGGAACGUUCUCAGCUGCGUCAUGGCGAUGUUCGAUCCGUUGGGCCUACUAGCACCGUUCACGAUAUCCGGGAAAAUGUUGAUUCAGGACUUGUGGAGGACCGGGUGUGAAUGGGAUGAGCAAAUCGACGACGAAUCGAUGGAGAAAUGGAUGCGGUGGGUUGAGUUGCUGCCGACGAUUGCGGAGAUCAGGAUUCCGCGAAGCUAUUUCGGGAAAGCACACUCUCAACAAGUGAAAGACCUGCAGCUUCAUAUAUUCACCGAUGCUGGAGAGAAGGCGUAUGGGUGCGUAGGAUAUUUUCGUGCCAUCGUCAACGAAGAGAUCGUUUGUGUGCUGGUGAUGAGUCGUACCAAGGUUGCCCCGCUGAAGCAACUGAGUAUUCCACGGCUAGAACUGCAGGCCGCAGUGCUGGGCGCCAGGUUAGUGCGCACCGUUCAAGAGAGCCACAGUUACAAGAUCCAGCAAACGUUCCUCUGGACCGAUUCGCGGACGGUCUUGUCUUGGAUUAGAUCGGAUCAGCGAAGGUAUAAGCCAUUCGUCGGUUUUCGCAUUGGAGAAAUCCUCAGCCGUACGAAUCUGUCCGAUUGGCGUUGGACACCGACGAAACUAAACGAGGCAGACAGACUUACGAAGUGGAGGCGUGAUGCAGAGUUGGAAUCGAACAGUAGCUGGUUCAAAGGGCCCAGUUUUUUGUACCAAGACGAGGCGAACUGGCCGCAGCAGACUGCGCCGGCCAACACGAAAGAAGAGCUACGGGCGCAGUUCCUGUUUCACGACGUGGUUGUGCAGGACACUCUGGUCGACGUUCAUCGGUUCUCCAAAUGGAACGUGUUAGUAAGGACGGUGGCUUGCGUAUGCAGAUUCGGGUCCAACUGUCGAAGGCGAAUGAAAGGCGAUCCGAUCGAAACUUUGAAGGCGACGAAGAACCAGGCGAAGUCGUUGAGGUCGGUGAAGUGGUCAGCAGUACGUACACCGUUGAAGCAGGAGGAAUUCCAGCAGGCGGAGCGGUAUCUAUUACGAGCGGUUCAGGCCGAAGCGUUCGGGGAUGAGUUGAAAACCUUGAUGAAGAAUCGAAACAGACCUACGAGUGAGUGGAUAGUCUUGGAGAAGUCGAGCCCACUGUACAAGUUGACGCCACUGGUCGACGAAAACGACGUGAUUCGGAUGGAAGGACGUACGGAGAAAGCCGAAUUCUUACCAUUCGAUCUGCGCUUUCCAGUGAUUCUACCGAGAGACCACCAUGUGACGGAGUUGAUCGUGCAGCACUACCACGAACGCUUCGGGCACGGUUAUCGAGAAACGGUUAAAAACGAGAUACGGCAGCGGUUCUACAUUCCAAAGGUCGGUACGGUGGUGUACAAAGUAUCGAAGGCGUGUCAGUGGUGUAAGGUUCAUCAUAGUCGUCCACGGGUCCCGAGGAUGGCAGCUUUACCGGUACAGCGUUUGCAACCCUAUCGACGACCGUUCAGUUUCACCGGAAUAGACUACCUCGGCCCAGUUAACGUUACGGUAGCGCGUCAUAGCGAAAAGCGCUGGAUAGCCGUGUUCACCUGCUUCGUGACGCGCGCUGUUCACCUAGAAGUGAGUGCUAGCCUGACCACACAGUCGUGUUUGAUGGCUAUUCGUCGCUUCAUACAUCGUAGAGGGCCACCGCAAGAGUUCUUCUCCGACAACGGGACUAACCUGAAAGGUGCAAGCAAGGAGCUGACAGGGAUGAUCAACGAUAUCAACAGCGGCUGCGCGGACGAGUUAACCGACGCGCGGAUGCAGUGGUCAUUCAACCCACCAGCUGCCCCCCACAUGGGUGGGGUAUGGGAGCGAUUGGUCAGAUCGGUUAAGGAGGCGUUGGAAGCAUUGAACGACGGGAAGCGGUUGACAGAUGAAAUUCUACACACGUCAGUAACAGCAGCAGAAGAUAUGAUUAACUCGAGGCCGCUGGUGUACGUUUCGCAGGAGACAGUUGAGGCAGAAGCACUCAGUCCGAACCACUUUCUGCGAGGUGUUUCGCCAAACGAGCCACAGAUGGUUCCCCCUCCACCGCACCCUGCUGAAGUGUUGCGGGAUGCAUAUAAGCGUUCGCAGGAGUUGGCGCAGGAGAUGUGGGGCCGAUGGAUCAAGGAGUACGUGCCGUCGUUGAACCAGCGGUCGAAAUGGCACGGUGAAGCGAGAGUGCUGAAGAAAGGCGACCUAGUCUACGUAGUCGAGGGGUCCAAGCGAAGAUCCUGGGUACGUGGAAGAAUCGAGGAGGUCAUCCCGGCGAGUGACGGCCGCGUUCGGCAGGCCUUGGUCCGGACGAGCAGUGGUUUGUUUCGGCGAGCUGUGGCGCAGUUGGCUGUGAUCGAGGUUGGCGAAGAAGAUGGUGGUAAAGCCAGACCGGAAGUGGCCUCCGGACUAGGUUUACGGGCCGGGGAAAUGUUGGGAGCACUGCACUGAGCGCAUCGCGUACACAGCCGAACGUUCAGCCGGGGUAUGUUCCUUUAACGACCACGAUCAACUUCAGGUCGUAUGUUGACGUGCGGUGUAAAACAACAACAAAUAGAGACGAGUGAGUGACGGGACGGAAGAAAACAAUAAAAAUUAAGAAGUAAAUAGUAGUCAGGAUAAAAGGAAAGUUGUGCUAUUUAUAAUAGGGAGUGAGAUUUAUAAAACAAAUUUAAUUAAGCCUAAUUUGCACCAAAAAAUACCGUGUAUUUGAUUCGUGAAUUCAGGAUACAAAAGUUGAUCACUGUGAGUAAUGUGUGACUUGAUUAAAAGUUGUUAUUCUACCUAAAAACGAAAUGCAAAAUUUGUUAACCUAGAUAAAAACACACAUUAAAACUUACAGCUAAAGAUCGAGAACAAGGCAGGAGAAAAAUAGAUUAAAGUUAGUGUGAAAAUUAUUGGAAACGCUAAAAGGUGAAUCAAUUUUCUUAUUGCUCGAAGACAGCUGCUAGAGAAGAACGUGGCCGAUCUGCUGGAGGGAAAAAGAAACUAAAAAUCUUUGAUCUGCCAGAAAAUAAGGCUGAUUCCAAGGAAAUAGUUUCAUUUGUUCAAAGUAG